AAUCGCGGAUCAGCACGCCGCGGUGAAUACGUUCCCGGGCCUUGUACACACCGCCCGUCACACCAUGAGAGUCUGUAACACCCAAAGCCGGUGGGAUAACCUUUAUAGGAGUCAGCCGUCUAAGGUAGGACAGAUGAUUAGGGUGAAGUCGUAACAAGGUAUC
rnacentral:rRNA from 1 species